AAACUUCCUAGGUAGGGAUCUGCUGUGAUCGUGAAGACGGUUUUUCGCGGUGGAGACUUUUUGUUUCGGUUCUCUAUGUGCUGACGUUUAUGUGAUUUCCCCGAAUGCGGGAAAACUCCGCUGCGUAAUUUGUGGUAAUUGGGAACUGCGUUCGCCCUUUCCUGU
ensembl:snRNA U1 U1 spliceosomal RNA